rnacentral:rRNA from 1 species
UACAGGAGGUCCCGAGCGUUGUUCGGAUUCAUUGGGCGUAAAAGGGUGCGUAGGCGGUUUGCUAAGUUUGAUGUGAAAUCCCGGGGCUUAACCCUGGAAUUGCAUUGAAUACUGGCGGACUAGAGUCCUGGAGAGGAAACUGGAAUUUACGGUGUAGCAGUGAAAUGCGUAGAGAUCGUAAGGAAGACCAGUGGCGAAGGCGAGUUUCUGGACAGGUACUGACGCUGAGGCACGGAAGGCCAGGGGAGCAAACGGG